CACCUGAUGCAGAGAUCCCCUAGUGCUCUGAAUGUUUGCUGAAGACACACAAGUGCAGAUGUAGGUCUUUAGGCAGCUCUUCCGGAGUGUCUCUCUAGAGCCUUUCAUUUCCCUUUGGAGAUCUCAGAAGUCAUCAUGUUUUGUGUCUGUGAGCUCUUCACCUGCCUCAGAUCUUCAGGAUCAGAAAGCUCCUCCCAAGAUCAAGCCCUGAGCAAAUGAUAAAGCCCAUCAGUCUCUGCGGUGGAUGUACGAAGGUUUAUGCUGCACGAUUCACAUGGAAGAGGAGAGAAGAUGAACAUGAUGCACCAUAAAAGUUGUGAACUGAAAAUGAAAACAAGACAGAAUAGAAGAGUCUGAAUUGAAGAAAACCCAGAGAUCAAUACCAUAGCGUAAUAUAACAGUGUUCAUAGAAAUAAAAACUCUUGGAACAGAAAUUAUUUAUUACUCCAGAGCAGCAUAAUUUAAAUAUGUGAAAAUAGAGCAACAUUGAAGGGGAAGAUUAGAGCCAAAUUAUGUGUCCAGAUCUGUUUAGGGGAGAAUAUUUUUGUUCCCCAGGCUGGUUGGCCAUAACUUGACAAGAUCAGGUUUGAUGAAGGUUUGUAAGGUAUCAAAAGUGAUACUAAGAGAUGUUUGUCAUGUACUUUCUGUACGUCUUAAUUUUUCUUUCUCACCUCUGGCUAUCUACAGUAACUCCCUUGAAGUUUAGGAAUACAACAUUUCCCUGCUGAGAUUAUCCUCUCCCAGACAGUACAUACAAUUUAUCCUGUUUUACCUCAUCCCUGCUAUGUCACAUUCAUUACAUCAGAGCCUAGACUGUCUCUAACUUUUUGUUUCUUCCUUUCGAAUGCAGGACUAUUACUGAAGACGUCAGUGGAGACACAGCAAGAUAUGGAAAAAGCCCAACAGAGUAGAAUAUCCCCAAAUGGGAGAACAGCGAAAAGCAGGAAGUUAUUCUCAGAAAAAAUGCUUUGUUCAUUCAGAGAACUGUGCUGCAUUAUUGGUUUUGUCAUGGACUUUGUUGGCUCUUGACCACCUAAUCAUUUAGUGCCUCUACUUCCUCCUUAAAGUAGGAUUAUUCUUAGUAAUGGUGGUUAUUUAUAGCAGUGCUGGAGUCUGAAAAGAGUAAUUUUUUCUGCUACUGCAACUGAAGAUUCUACACAGAGGGCUACUACCUUCCUUCCUGGUUUUCAACUGGCGCUCCCAUCUCCUUCAUAAAAGAAGGAUGUGAACAGAAGAGACUAGAGAUAUUUGAAUGGCAUCAAGAGCAACUUUCUGUAGAAUUUUUGAGUUCCUAAAUGAUUUGAUACAGGCUGCAAACACAGGCCUUUCAGGAUCGUUGUCAGCAAACACCAACAAGACAGAGACUUAAUUGUAUAUUCACCCACAGAAAAUUAGUUUGAAGAUUCUGUGUCCUUUCAUCUGGUGAAGGUGAAUUUUAAAUUCACUUUUUGGAAGUAUCUGUACUGGAUGAUUAAGGCUUGCACUCCUACAAAUGUGGAAUAGAAACACUACCUCUAAUUGUGUUAUAACUUUAUGGGUCUCUUGCGAAUAGCAAACUGCUGAUAAAAGCAGUCUUGUAAAAAUAUCAUCAAAUACUUUUGGAUAACAAAGUGAUCUGUAGCAAUCAGAAUCUGCUAGUGGCUGUGUCUACAAAGCACAGAGAGAAGACCAUGGGGCAAAGAUUUUACAACCAGUUAUUUGGAAAUCAUCUUCUCAGGAGCUGGAGCUGAGGUGGUGCUGUGUUGAGCCAGGAGCUGAACUCAGUGAUCCUUAUGGGUCCCUUCCAGCUUGGGAUAUUCUGUGAUUCUAUGAUCUUCAGAAGAAACCUAAAGCAAGCAGGGAAUGGCAUUCAGAUCUUUUGCAGUUCACACUGCUGCCUUAGUUACAGGGUGACAUAUCCUCCUUAGAAACUGAAAAUAAAACCAGAAGAGAGGAAAAGCACUCCCAGAUCCUCUCCCACUCUUUUUUCUCCAACUAACAUAUGAUCACGACACUGUCCUUGAAGAGAACUCAGUUACAACACCGUGACCUAACACAGCUUUAUCUUACAGAACGUUCCCCGCCUCUGUCCACACCCUCCUCCCUCAAAGUACUGGCAGAAUCGAAGGGGAAAAUUAUAUAUGAAGGGAAAGAACAAUGAAUACUUGGUAGUACAGAACAAAAGAGAUUUGCAAGGAGGGUGGGGAAUCAAGGAAAUUAAGAGCUGUCUGGGAUACACAGUAUAAGUGUGUCAAGGCAGAGAAGAUCUGGUCCACAGGUGCUCCCUGCUCAUUAAAGCCAGCCUGAUGGUCUGCAGUGAAGGACAGCUUCCUGCAGCAGCACACCCAUACUUGUUACCAUUUCAGUUUGUAGCUGGAAAGCACUUCAGAGUCUCCUUGUCUGAGCAGAGGGGACAAUAAAAGGUGCGUGCUGAAACAAGAAGUGGACAGGGACAGUCAUCUUCUACUUGUGGUUUGAUAUCUUUGUCAUCUGAGUGGGUUUUUGCCUCCUGUUACUUCACAAGACUAAGCUGAUAACGUAGGUAUUAAUUAUUGUAGGGAAUAUGCUGCUGACUGAGGAACUGCUCUACUGUAGGCACUUUGGAGUUGCGGCUGAUUCAAUGUACGGCUGCCAACUGGUGCUCCUUGGCGGAGCGUGCUUCGACUUCAUUUCCAGACUACAGUGGGCUGUCACAGGUGCCUGUAUGUGACAGAACUGCUUCCAGCUUGAGCAUCUGUAAUGAGCCGUGGGUUGUCUACUUGAAGCUGAAAAUGUUGAUAGAAGUGUAAUUGUGGCAGUACCUAAAAAAGCCGGUGUGUAGAAACAAAAUUGUCACUGGCUAGUUUUGUGUGCUCUUACAAGAACUUGAAACAACAGUGGUGAAGUGGGACUGCUUCAGAGAGAUGUUAAAACUGAGUGCAUCUGCUCUGAUUAUGACAUUAAUACUAAAGCCAAACCAUGGUAACUGCUAAUCCACUGUAUCUAGAAGAGCUCUUGGAAGGACAAAGGAUUAUCACUUUCUGCUGUUUGAAGUGUGAUCUGUGUGCAAUCUUGGGAGUUGUGCUGGCAAAACUGUCAAAGGGCACGGUCAGUGUUUAAGAAAGACAAGCCCUUGCACUUUGCCUGGAGUAGGUGCCUGGUGAAGAGUAUAUGAAGCUUAAAGACACCUAUUGGAAGAGGUCAGACACGCUCCAUGUUGGCUGAGUCUUGGGCAUUUCACGGUGUCAGAAUUCUGGCUCAAGCGAAGUUCUGGUUGUGUUUUGUUAAGUUGAAGACACAGUUGUCUCAGAAUACGUUGUGUUGUUACAUACUUGAGAACUGAAAAUCCUGGUUGGAUUCAGACCUGAUCUAGACAAGCAGCUCCUCUCUUCAGAAAGACCUAAAUCCAGACACUUGAUCUAAACAUGCCUGACCUGGAAAAAAGUUUACAUGCUCAUGCGGACAUGGAUGUGUGCUCAUAGCUUUCCUAGUGUGCAGAAGAUGUGUGGGAGAACAAAGAAAAGAACGUAUCAGUCCUGCAUUUCACAGCUGAGGAAAUCCAAAUCUGAAGUCUGAAGAAUAUUAUUGAUGUGACACAUCAGACAAAUCAUAAACAUUUUCUACCCUUUACUUCCUAACUCUAUCUCAUCUUAAUGAGGACUUAAGUGAUUUUUUUACAGUGCUAAAGGAUUGGAAUUUGCUGGAGGAAUGGAAAUUGCUUGUAUAAACUGCAAUGGGUUUUGAUUUAUCUAUGUUAUCUAGUGUUAUAUGUGCAGUUUCUAUGUGCUUUGUGUUCAUGUUCUGUUACUUCAAUUUUAGCUGUAUCUCCACCAAGAACUUGAUAUCUCAAUAAGUUCAGAUAUCCUAGGAUCUGUGAACCCCAAAAUAAGCAGACGUUGCAGAGA
ensembl:lncRNA